rnacentral:rRNA from 1 species
AGUGAACGCUGGCGGUAGGCCUAACACAUGCAAGUCGAACGGCAGCACAGUAAGAGCUUGCUCUUACGGGUGGCGAGUGGCGGACGGGUGAGGAAUACAUCGGAAUCUACUUUUUCGUGGGGGAUAACGUAGGGAAACUUACGCUAAUACCGCAUACGACCUACGGGUGAAAGCAGGGGAUCUUCGGACCUUGCGCGAUUGAAUGAGCCGAUGUCGGAUUAGCUAGUUGGCGGGGUAAAGGCCCACCAAGGCGACGAUCCGUAGCUGGUCUGAGAGGAUGAUCGGCCACACUGGAACUGAGACACGGUCCCGACUCCUACGGGAGGCAGCAGUGGGGAAUAUUGGACAAUGGGCGCAAGCCUGAUCCAGCCAUACCGAGUGGGUGAAAAAGGCCUUCGGGUUGUAAAGCCCUUUUGUUGGGAAAGAAAAGCAGCAGGUUAAUACCCCGCUGUUCUGACGGUACCCAAAGAAUAAGCACCGGCUAACUUCGUG